AAUGAACGCUGGCGGCAGGCCUAACACAUGCAAGUCGAACGGAUCCUUCGGGAGUAGUGGCGGACGGGUGAGUAACGCGAGGGAACAUACCCUUAGGUACGGAAUAGGCUCGGGCAACUGGGAGUAAUACCGUAUGUGGUCGAGAGACGAUAGAUUUAUCGCCAAAGGAUUGGCCGGCAUUGGAUUAGGUAGUUGGUGGGGUAAUGGACUACCAAGCCGGCGAGGGAUAGCUGGUUUGAGAGGAUGAUCAGCCACACUGGGACUGAGACACGGACCAGACUCCGACGGGAGGCAGCAGUGGGGAAUCUUAGACAAUGGGGGAAGCCCUGAUCUAGCCAUGCCGCGGGAUCGAUGAAGGCCUUAGGGUUGUAAAGAUCUUUCAGGUGGGAAGAUAAUGACUGUACCACCAGAAGAAGCCCCGGCUAACUCCGUGCCAGCCGCCGCGGUAACAC
rnacentral:rRNA from 1 species